CCCCCAAGAUGGCGGCGCCCGCGGAGGCGGUGGUGGCUGAGGGACGGUUCCGCACGCGCGACGUGUUGGUGCCCGGCGGCCCGUCCGACUUCGGGUCGCUGCUGCUGUCGGCGCCGGUGCUGGCGGGGCUGGAGGCGGCGGGGUUCCACAGGCCGUCACCGGUCCAGCUGAAGGCAAUCCCGCUGGGGCGCUGCGGCCUGGAUCUCAUCGUGCAGGCCAAGUCCGGCACUGGCAAAACCUGCGUGUUCUCCACCAUCGCCCUGGACGCGGUGCUGCUGGAGAGCCCCGCCACGCAGAUUCUGAUCUUGGCUCCUACGCGGGAGAUUGCUGUGCAGAUUCAUGCUGUAAUCACAACUAUUGGAAUAAAGAUGGAAGGCUUGGAAUGCCAUGUCUUCAUCGGUGGGACUCCUUUGAACCAGGACAAAGUCAGACUAAAGAAGUGCCACAUAGCGGUUGGCUCCCCAGGUCGAAUAAAGCAGCUCAUAGAGUUGGACUACUUGAAUACAGCCAGUAUCCGGCUUUUCAUUCUUGAUGAAGCAGACAAGCUUCUGGAAGAAGGCAGCUUUCAGGAGCAAAUCAAUUGGAUUUACUCUUCGCUGCCAGCCAAUAAACAGAUGCUUGCUGUUUCUGCUACUUAUCCUGAAUCAUUAGCUAAUGCUUUGACCAGGUACAUGAGAGAGCCAACGUUUGUGAGGUUGAACCCUACUGAUCCAAGUCUCAUUGGGCUGAAACAGUAUUACAAGAUUGUGAAUUCCCACCCGCUUCCGCAUAAAACAUUUGAGGAAAAAACCCAGCACCUGCAGGAGCUGUUCAGCAAGAUUCCAUUUAAUCAAGCCUUAGUCUUCUCAAAUUUGCAUAGCAGGGCUCAACAUCUAGCUGAAAUACUAACAUCCAGAGGCUUUCCUGCUGAGUGCAUUUCGGGUAACAUGAAUCAAAAUCAACGACUUGAUGCUAUGGCUAAAUUAAAGCAAUUCCACUGUAGAGUUCUGAUUUCCACAGACUUGACAUCUCGCGGAAUUGAUGCUGAAAAAGUGAAUCUGGUUAUCAACCUGGAUGUACCUGUAGAUUGGGAAACGUACAUGCAUCGUAUUGGCAGAGCUGGGCGCUUUGGAACUUUAGGCUUAUCGGUGACAUAUUGCUGCCGCGGAGAGGAAGAAAACACCAUGAUGAAAAUUGCUCAGAAAUGUAAUCUGCAGCUUCUUCCUCUACCAGAGCCUAUCCCUCCUGGAAUGAUGGAUCAAUUUGAAGAUGGGGAGGUAGAAGUCAAACCUGUUAUACAUACAGGUGCUUCAGUGAAUUCUGACACUGUGUGUCUUAGACCAGAGGAACCAGUACUGCAGCCUGGCCAAAACAGUUUUGCAGAGGUACCUCAGCCUCUUUCUAACCUUCCAGCUGGUAACUCUUCUGCAGAAAGGCCAAAAAAUUCUCUGAAACAAAAGCAGAUAAAAAAGUGCACAAAUCCUGCAAAUAGAGAAAAAGGUAAUAGAAACCCCCAAACUUCCAGUUGCCACCCAGAACACAGGAAUCAACUCAAAACUAUCUCCAGAACGGAUGGACAACGUAACACUCAGACUCCAAAUGAGGAGACCUUAAAAAAAAAUCUUCCCAGAAUUCCAUGCUUGUCUUCUUUCAAAAACCAACAGAACAAUCCCUGGAGCUUCUCAGCGUUUGUUGAAGACUAUGAGUAUUUCAUUAAAGAAGGGUUGGAGAGAGAGGUUGAAAUUUUAAGAAGCUAUUCAGGCCCAGGAGAGCAGUGUGAGCUCCCCAGAAAUGGUGAUAUGGAGUGGAAAGAGGUGGAACAUAAUACAGAGCUGGUAGCAAACGGUGUUUUGUCUGGUGACAGUGAUGAUUCGUACAGUUCCAGGGCUUCUUCCAACAGCAGGGACAAUAACUCAUGCUUUGAAACAUUUUCAGAUACACAGGAGAAAAAUGCUGUUCCCACGAGGCGUCGGAGUCACGAAGGUUUCUGUCCUACACCAGAGAAGCCUCAGGAGCUAUCACAAAUCCCCAAGCAAAAUCAAGUGAAAAAGAAAGUUCUGAAACAAAACGCUAAACAAAAGAAAAAACAUUACCAUGAAUUCCCUAGUCCUUCCAUGGGAAAAACUGAAGACGACUGCUCCUGCAGCUCUUGGGAUGAUGGUGUUCCAUAUGAGGCUUGGAGGUACAAAAACUACUGGAAAUCCUAUUACCAAGCAUGGCAAAACUACUAUGCUGCAGUGUCACACUACAGGAGAAGUUACAGACAGUUUAACUGGAUGAGUGCCUAUCAUGUCAACUCAGUCUAUCUUCAGGAGCUGCUGAAAAGUGGUGAUUGAUGGAGUGACGCUGCUGGUAGGGACAGGCUGGUUGGAGCCAUGAAUGGACAUUAGCUGUGAAAAAAGUGCUGGUCUACCUGUACAUUGACAAACAUAGACAUUCCUUAAGACUGAAGAAAAAUGUUGUCUUUCUUAAGUGAGCUGUGUCUAGCUGUCCUGAAGCAGGAAAAGAGAGUGCUGGCUGGCUUUGGGUAUUGACCCUAGGAUGACUCCGCGCUGAUUUUGAAACUUCAUCCUCUACCUUUAGUGUGUUUUGGGAUCAGAGAGACAGAUUUCUUCAGCUAGUUUUUUUGAUUUCUCAAAGUUCACCAGACCAGGUACAGUCUGUUGUUUUGUGGUUUGUUUUUGUUUGUUUUUGUUUUUUUUUCCUUGAGCAGAGCAAGGAUGGAAUUUUCUUAGUAAAAGCCCUGCUUCCUACCUGCUAUGAACUGUACUUCCAAGGAGACUCGCCUUGUAUUUGGUGAAACAGAUGUCUUCAGGGAUGCUUGUUUGCUCGCCUUCAGCAACUUUCAAAUUCAUUUUGAGAAAGGCAGUAUGUUUUCACUCAGCUCACGUAAAUCACUUGCUGCCUGAGCCUUCCUAAUGUUCUUGCAAAAUUCCCUGUGCAAAUCCUGUGGUGUCCCUGCCAGCACUUCUGACCUUUCUGUGGAAUGGUGGGUCUAAACUUUAUACCACGCAAUUCAGACUCGUCACUGUGCAGGAGAAUUGUAAGAUUGAUUUAGCUCAUGAGUGGCUUAGAAAUUUAGCACAAGAUAGGGGAAGCAAGGCUGCUGUCCUGCUGGGAGUGGGUUUGGGGUUUUCCUGCAGCUGGGGCAAUGGUGGCCUCUAGUGGGUGUCAGCCUUUGCUGCAAGAGAGAAAAGGGCUGCAAACUCUUCUAUUCCGCUCACUGGGUGUUAGUGGUCACCUAAUAAGUAAGUUUAAUUUCUGCUUAAAGAUUUUUGAAAAUUUUUACAAGUGCCUCUUGAGUGGCACUUUCUGAUAUGGUUAAGAUGGGAUCAGCUCUACUUGUUCUGUGGUUGAAACAAACUGACUGUAUCUGCAAUACAGAAUGCAAGACUUCAGCCUAAAUGGAAUUGCCAAGAUGAAAUCGCCUUUUAAAAGAAAGGCAUAAGAUGUGCUCUUUAACUAUAGUAAAUCUCGUUAGGAGAAGUAUUUUUCUUUCUGUACUUUUUUCCCUGCUUUACUCCCUUUGUGUCACAACAAAUUACCCCAGGGAGGGGGUUUGCCAGGAUGGCAUCUGCAUAGUUUGGAAAGGCCAAGACAAUAUGAUUUUGUUUCCAAGAUCAAUUUUCUUGCAACUCUUAACGUUCAAAAGGAUGAUACCGUAAGAGAUGCACUUAGGUAUCUGCAUUAUUGCUCUCCUAUAACAUCUCAGUCAUCUUGCUGCUUUCAUUAAUGGUUGCUUAAGUGAGAGUUAUUAGUAUUUAAAUGCAACUCGAGUGGCUUAGGCCAACACCCAAAGUUCUCCAAAAGAACCUCCCAGAGAGAAGAAAUCUACAGCAUCAUCUCGGUAUUUGUGGCACAUAAUCUGUUUAAUCCAGAUUGGAUACAUCAGGUACAGCAGUGGCACAAGACUCAAUACUGUAAAUGAUAUACAAGUUUCAACAUAUGCACUACAAUUCCAAAAGAAGACAACAGGAAACUUGGUUCUUCUAGAAAGUUGUUCUCAAAUGAAGCUACCUGCAGUUGUAUACAGUACACUUUGUAUCUGUCCUCUGAUGUUCGUAAGCAAAGCCCAUUUAUAGUACGAAAAUAGAAAAUAAUAAGGUUGAAAGCUUCUCAUAACAUAAAACUCCUAAAGAAAACACCAUUGCAUUGGAAUGCCUUACUGAUUUAUCAAAAAUAUACCAUCACACGCAUUUUGUAAGAUACUUCAUUGGUCCAAGGAGCCAGUGGGAGCUCCCAGUCGUAGUUGCAACAGAACGGUGAAGAGCAUUCGGUAUGGUUGUUACCUUCUCACCCAGACAGCUGCGUGACUUCUGUAACUAGCACUAGUUCAAAUCAAAAUGAAAAGAAACACGUGCACACGUAUACACACAAAGUAACAGACUAUUGACUGAGACCAAAACUCAGGAAGGAAUUGUCACAAGCUCUUUGUCACCUGGUCUUUUGACUGAUCCACCUGAAGUUUUUCUGGCACAGUUGUUGCAUUUUGAACGUAAGUAGCGGUACUUUUCUGGUACGCUUUCUCAAGAGUUCUCUAUGGUAGUAUUUUGUAGGUGUUCAUGAUUUGAACUUCACUAUUGAAAGAGGAGGUAUUAAAUUCUAUACAGCUUGUAUAAUUGGCAAAGAGAGGUGAAAUGACUUCUUCGAGGUCACUUAGUGAUUCAUCAAGACAAUCAGGAGUAGAACACAGGUUCCUGAUGCUAAUUCCUAGCUGUAAUCAAUGUGCACGCUGCCUUGUGUUUGCUUUUAAAGUUUUAGAAAGAUAAAACCAUUAGGAAGAGUGUUUAUGGCAUCGUUAAAUGUGAAGCCUAAAAACUUGAGCUCUGAAGUCAUAUAUCUAGUGCAGUUGCUUAAAGUGUUGGAGAAAAAUAAGUGGUUUUUUAAAAAAAUCAAGAUAAAUUUGAUUGGUAAAUUACGUGGAAAAGGUGUAUUAUUCACCUAACUUUAAAAGCAGAAUAAAGUCUUCAGUUCGAAGCUGCCGAUGUUCGCGAGCCAUCUGUGAGUGCUGACUCUGCAACUCUGCCAUGGUCUGACAUAGAAAAAAUAUUACAGGAUCCAAGGGAUGUUUGCAACCCAUAAAUUCAGUGGGAUUUUUAAUAUACGGAAUUUGCUCUAUAAUACAUGUAAGAUACAAUGUGUUUACAAUCUCUUUACUUAAAAAAGCAAACUAUUUGAAGAAACACUGCUUUCUUUAGCUGGUAUUAAUCUGAUUUUCAUGCGCACCCCUUAAGCUGUCUAUGCUAGAACGAUAAAUGCUGGUUUGCCAUACUAGUAUAUUAUCAACUGUUUCAGGUUAAACAAGUAGCAUUGAUUCAAAUUUAGUAUUUCUGGUAACUGUAAAGAAGGAUGUAUUUUGAAUUACCUACUAACUUUAUUCCACACUAAAGCCAUCUGUAUUACUUAUUUUAGCUUUUCCCCAGUUCACUUUUAACAAUGAUAAUUAUUUGACAGACAAAAGUAGUCUCUGGGAUAGGAAUUUGCUGUAGAAAGUUUUAUAUUCCUUUUGUGCUUGCGGGCAGCUAACUUGCAAUGUGGAGAGGAGAGUAAUUUAACAUGGUGCGAGGGAGUACAAUGGCAGCAGGAGAGAUAAAAAUAAGGAAAGAAUUAUAGCUGAACAGCAGGGGAGAAUCCUUGACAUUGAGAUCUAUUAGUCUGGAAAAAGCUCUCCAGGGAAGCGGUGGGAGUCUUUUCCUUGGAGAAUUUUAAAUCUAAUCCAGAGAAAGCAAUGCAGCAUAUUGCACUGAAGGAUCUUGUGCUAGCAGAGGACGGAUUACCUUUCUUAGUUCUUUAAUUUUUACGUACCAAGGUGUGUGAUCUGUGGCCUGUUCUUUAUGGACGUCCUUAAGAUUUUUAAGGAAAAGGGAAGUAAAAGGUGGGUUUUCAAAAGAGUAGAUGGAAAUCAAGCCUAGAUGUGAAAGGUAUUUCUCAUCAUUCUUUGCCAACUGGGUGUGAUUCCUUCUAUUAGCAGCCCAAUGCCAGGUGAGAAGAGAGUAAAUCUAUUAAUAGAAUAUGUUGAAAAUCUGUGAAAAUGUUUUUCCCUCAGAAAAGGCUUUGGAAAGGAAAUAAAAUGCUCAGAAAAAGGUGGUGUUCCUUUGAUAUUUUUGAUAUUGCUUUAUGAAAGACUGAAAAAAUAAUCCCCUUCUGCUUGCUUUUUGUACAAACAAUCUGUUUUUAUCUUUUUUUUUUUUAAUGAACUGUUCUAAAACUAUAAAAAGUUGUAAGGAAUUAGGGGGAGGAGGAAGGCUUUUAAAAUGAACUGCCAACAUACUCUUGACAUUUUGUGGAGCAGUCUUGCUAACCCGUCUGUUUUGUACCACCUGCCUUUAGGACAAGUAGCAGGACUAGAGCCUACCUAUGUUUCUGGAUGCUGCUCCUCGCGGAGGUAACCCACACCUGAAGAAGCCCACUUCCACAUGCAUCAGGAGUGCCCAGGACUGCAGGGUAAAUCAGGAAUAAGAAAGGCAGCACCGAGAAUCCA